AGAGUUUGAUCCUGGCUCAGGACGAACGCUGGCGGCGUGCCUAAUACAUGCAAGUAGAACGCUGAAGAGAGGAGCUUGCUCUUCUUGGAUGAGUUGCGAACGGGUGAGUAACGCGUAGGUAACCUGCCUUGUAGCGGGGGAUAACUAUUGGAAACGAUAGCUAAUACCGCAUAACAAUGGAUGACACAUGUCAUUUAUUUGAAAGGGGCAAUUGUUCCACUACAAGAUGGACCUGCGUUGUAUUAGCUGGUAGGUGAGGUAAUGGCUCACCUAGGCGACGAUACAUAGCCGACCUGAGAGGGUGAUCGGCCACACUGGGACUGAGACACGGCCCAGACUCCUACGGGAGGCAGCAGUAGGGAAUCUUCGGCAAUGGGGGCAACCCUGACCGAGCAACGCCGCGUGAGUGAAGAAGGUUUUCGGAUCGUAAAGCUCUGUUGUAAGUCAAGAACGGGUGUGAGAGUGGAAAGUUCACACUGUGACGGUAGCUUACCAGAAAGGGACGGCUAACUACGUGCCAGCAGCCGCGGUAAUACGUAGGUCCCGAGCGUUGUCCGGAUUUAUUGGGCGUAAAGCGAGCGCAGGCGGUUUGAUAAGUCUGAAGUUAAAGGCUGUGGCUCAACCAUAGUUCGCUUUGGAAACUGUCAAACUUGAGUGCAGAAGGGGAGAGUGGAAUUCCAUGUGUAGCGGUGAAAUGCGUAGAUAUAUGGAGGAACACCGGUGGCGAAAGCGGCUCUCUGGUCUGUAACUGACGCUGAGGCUCGAAAGCGUGGGGAGCGAACAGGAUUAGAUACCCUGGUAGUCCACGCCGUAAACGAUGAGUGCUAGGUGUUGGAUCCUUUCCGGGAUUCAGUGCCGCAGCUAACGCAUUAAGCACUCCGCCUGGGGAGUACGACCGCAAGGUUGAAACUCAAAGGAAUUGACGGGGGCCCGCACAAGCGGUGGAGCAUGUGGUUUAAUUCGAAGCAACGCGAAGAACCUUACCAGGUCUUGACAUCCCGAUGCUAUUUCUAGAGAUAGAAAGUUACUUCGGUACAUCGGUGACAGGUGGUGCAUGGUUGUCGUCAGCUCGUGUCGUGAGAUGUUGGGUUAAGUCCCGCAACGAGCGCAACCCCUAUUGUUAGUUGCCAUCAUUCAGUUGGGCACUCUAGCGAGACUGCCGGUAAUAAACCGGAGGAAGGUGGGGAUGACGUCAAAUCAUCAUGCCCCUUAUGACCUGGGCUACACACGUGCUACAAUGGUUGGUACAACGAGUUGCGAGUCGGUGACGGCGAGCUAAUCUCUUAAAGCCAAUCUCAGUUCGGAUUGUAGGCUGCAACUCGCCUACAUGAAGUCGGAAUCGCUAGUAAUCGCGGAUCAGCACGCCGCGGUGAAUACGUUCCCGGGCCUUGUACACACCGCCCGUCACACCACGAGAGUUUGUAACACCCGAAGUCGGUGAGGUAACCUUUUGGAGCCAGCCGCCUAAGGUGGGACAGAUGAUUGGGGUGAAGUCGUAACAGGGUA
rnacentral:rRNA from 1 species